rnacentral:rRNA from 1 species
UACGUAGGGUCCGAGCGUUUGUCCGGAAUUACUGGGCGUAAAGAGCUCGUAGGUGGUUUUGUCGCGUUGUUCUGAAAACUCAACAACUCAAUUGUGGGCGUGCGGGCGAUACGGGCAGACUGGAGUACUGCAGGGGGAGACUGGAAAUUUCCUAUGUAGCGGUGAAAAUGCGCAGAUAUCAGGAGGAACACCGGUGGCGAAGGCGGCAUCCUGGACCGGCAUUGACGCUGAGGAGCGAAAAGCUAGGGGGAGCAAACAGGAUUAGAUUACC